rnacentral:rRNA from 1 species
AACGAACGCUGGCGGCGUGCCUAACACAUGCAAGUCGAGCGAGAAAGUGGGGGCAACUCCACGAGUAAAGCGGCGCACGGGUGAGUAACACGUAGGUAAUCUACCCUUGAGUCUGGGAUAACAUACCGAAAGGUGUGCUAAUACCGGAUAUGACCACGGGGGCCACGGCCCCUGCGGUGAAAGGUGGCCUCUACUUGUAAGCUACCGUUCAGGGAUGAGCCUGCGCGCCAUUAGCUAGUUGGCGGGGUAACGGCCCACCAAGGCGAUGAUGGCUAGCUGGUCUGAGAGGAUGGCCAGCCACACUGGGACUGACACACGGCCCAGACUCCUACGGGAGGCAGCAGUGGGGAAUAUUGCGCAAUGGGCGAAAGCCUGACGCAGCGACGCCGCGUGGGUGAUGAAGG